rnacentral:rRNA from 1 species
ACGGGAGGCAGCAGUGGGGAAUAUUGCACAAUGGGCGAAAGCCUGAUGCAGCGACGCCGCGUGAGGGAUGACGGCCUUCGGGUUGUAAACCUCUUUCAGCAGGGAAGAAGCGAAAGUGACGGUACCUGCAGAAGAAGCGCCGGCUAACUACGUGCCAGCAGCCGCGGUAAUACGUAGGGCGCAAGCGUUGUCCGGAAUUAUUGGGCGUAAAGAGCUCGUAGGCGGCUUGUCACGUCGGGUGUGAAAGCCCGGGGCUUAACCCCGGGUCUGCAUUCGAUACGGGCUAGCUAGAGUGUGGUAGGGGAGAUCGGAAUUCCUGGUGUAGCGGUGAAAUGCGCAGAUAUCAGGAGGAACACCGGUGGCGAAGGCGGAUCUCUGGGCCAUUACUGACGCUGAGGAGCGAAAGCGUGGGGAGCGAACAGGAUUAGAUACCCUGGUA